rnacentral:misc_RNA from 1 species
GAUGAAGAACGCAGCGAAAUGCGAUAGAUAAUGUGAAUUGCAGAAUUCAGUGAAUCAUCGAGUCUUUGAACGCACAUUGCGCCCCCUGGUAUUCCGGGGGGCAUGCCUGUCCGAGCGUCAUUGCUGCCCUCAAGCACGGCUUGUGUGUUGGGCCUCCGUCCUCCUCCCGGGGGACGGGCCCGAAAGGCAGCGGCGGCACCGCGUCCGGUCCUCGAGCGUAUGGGGCUUCGUCACCCGCUCUUGUAGGCCCGGUCGGCGCUUGCCGACACAUCAAUCUUUUUUCCAGGUUGACCUCGGAUCAGGUAGGGAUACCCGCUGAACUUAAGCAUAUCAAUAAGCGGAGGA